ACCAAUAGCCUUACCUGGUAACCAUAUACGGUAAUUUUAGAGGAAUGACUGAUCCUCGAUUCAAGUAUUAUAAUCGAUAAAUAGUAGAAAUAUUAAAAUGUUCGAUAAAAGCAUCCUACUUACACUCUUUCAUCAACAACAUAAAGAAUAUUCUAAUAGAUGUACUCUGUAUAACUAAAGUGUCUUUCGAUUGGAUAUUUUUUUCUGAAUUAUUCUGGUUAUAGGAAUCCCAUUUCUAAGGCGAUAUAAAGAGAUUGUGUGUCUGAGUGGCUGUUUAUUCUCCAGAAUGGAAAGUUGUGCGCACGCGCUGCCGUUUCUUCGUCAGAUUCAUCCCCUAUUACCACAUACGUGCAACUUCGGCCGAAUCUUGCAAUCACUCUUCCAAAGCAGCUUUCUUUCCCUAAAAAUGCAUAUUAAAGGGUUCAAUGUGGUGCACCGAAUGUUGCAUGGAAACAGAAACACAUGGAAACGAUUUUAGUAGGACAACCGAAUGUUAAGCGUAACAAAUACAGAGAAUAAUGGAUUAGUAUUGGAGAACAGAAUUUGGUACUUUAUCGAAGAAUGUAAAAGUGGAAUGCAAUACAUUGUUGAACGAUUAUCGUUAUUAUGUAUCGAGUCAAAUAAAAUCAAGACCAGCUGAAGCAUUAAAUGCAAGAUGUAAGCGUUGAAUAAUGAAGUAUUAGAAGGUUAUUAAAAAGAAACAAUUAUUAUGGCUGAGUAGAACCCAGUACAACUGAGUAUUAAAAAAGUAAAUCGAAAAAUGUGAAUUAGAUUUUCGACAAAAUAUUUAAAUAUGGAUUUUUAUUUCUUGAUACGC